rnacentral:rRNA from 1 species
AUACGGAAGGCAGCAGUGGGGAAUAUUGCACAAUGGGCGAAAGCCUGAUGCAGCAACGCCGCGUGAGGGACGACGGCCUUCGGGUUGUAAACCUCUUUUAGUAGGGAAGAAGCGAAAGUGACGGUACCUGCAGAAAAAGCACCGGCUAACUACGUGCCAGCAGCCGCGGUAAUACGUAGGGUGCAAGCGUUGUCCGGAAUUAUUGGGCGUAAAGAGCUCGUAGGCGGUUUGUCGCGUCUGCUGUGAAAACCCGAGGCUCAACCUCGGGCCUGCAGUGGGUACGGGCAGACUAGAGUGCGGUAGGGGAGAUUGGAAUUCCUGGUGUAGCGGUGGAAUGCGCAGAUAUCAGGAGGAACACCGAUGGCGAAGGCAGAUCUCUGGGCCGUAGCUGACGCUGAGGAGCGAAAGCAUGGGGAGCGAACAGGAUUAGAUACCCCAGUAA